CACGACCUGAACACGUAUCUUCACAAGGCCAUCCCAGACACGAAGCUCACCAUCCGCAAGUACCUGGAUGUGAAGUUCGAGUAUCUGUCAUACUGCCUGAAGGUGAAGGAAAUGGACGAUGAAGAAUACAGCAGUAUUGCCAUGGGAGAGCCGCUGUAUCGCGUCAGCACCGGUAACUAUGAAUACC